ensembl:miRNA microRNA 20a
UAAAGUGCUUAUAGUGCAGGUAGUCUUCUUACUGUUUAAAUUCUACUGCAAUGUGAGCACUUCAAGU